rnacentral:rRNA from 1 species
GAGGAGUGGCUUCCGGAGCUAACGCGUUAAAUCGACCGCUGGGGAGUACGGCCGCAAGGUUAAAACUCAAAUGAAUUGACGGGGGCCCGCACAGCGGUGGAGCAUGUGGUUUAAUUCGAUGCAACGCGAAGAACCUUACCUACUCUUGACAUCCAGAGAAUUUAGCAGAGAUGCUUUAGUGCCUUCGGGAACUCUGAGACAGGUGCUGCAUGGCUGUCGUCAGCUCGUGUUGUGAAAUGUUGGGUUAAGUCCCGCAACGAGCGCAACCCUUAUCCUUUGUUGCCAGCACAUUAUGGUGGGAACUCAAAGGAGACUGCCGGUGAUAAACCGGAGGAAGGUGGGGAUGACGUCAAGUCAUCAUGGCCCUUACGAGUAGGGCUACACACGUGCUACAAUGGCGUAUACAAAGAGAAGCGACCUCGCGAGAGCAAGCGGAACUCAUAAAGUACGUCGUAGUCCGGAUUGGAGUCUGCAACUCGACUCCAUGAAGUCGGAAUCGCUAGUAAUCGUAGAUCAGAAUGCUACGGUGAAUACGUUCCCGGGCCUUGUACACACCGCCCGUCACACCAUGGGAGUGGGUUGCAAAAGAAGUAGGUAGCUUAACCUUCGGGAGGGCGCUUACCACUUUGUGAUUCAUGACUGGGGUGAAGUCGUAACAAGGUAACCA